rnacentral:lncRNA from 1 species
CCAAUGUGUAAAGCAUUUCCAAAGCUUAAUUGGCUGUUUUUGCAUUUUUCAGGUGCUAGAUUUACAAAUCAAUAAUACUGUAAAUGCACAGAAGUGGAUCUGAUGUAACAGAGAAUUUGAUUUGCUGCUACCUUAUUAAGACAAAUCUCACUUGGAGAUGAAAACAAUGGAAGAUGUUGAACCUAAACAGAAUAGGCCUGUAAAUUCUCUUACCCAAGGGUAAAUUGUACAACUGAAUGUCAAGGUCAUCACAACAACUCAUGCCUUGAGGAAAGUGGAGCUGCUAUGCUGUAUGCUCUGUUUUUUAAUGUUUUAAUGAGACCUAUUCAAAGAGUUUAUUUUCCUUUUAUUUUUUAACGCUGACUUUCAGUCCACGUGGCAACAAUAGCAGUCAUAGAGGUGUGCAGCCCUGCUUUGUGCUGGCAGAGACAGCCUGCACUGAUGCUGCAGCUGCACCCUGUUCUUCUGUUUCCUCAGAAUGGAUUGAGGGUGGGAUGGCAGUUGCUAUGGCAACCUGCUCUACUUAAGAGCAGCCGAAGGCCUCUCAAUACACUUUGAAAUUGCUUCCUUCUCAUUAUGCUUCAGCAGUGGGGGGGAAAAAAGUAUAUGUCCUGGAUUGUGCUGUUCCUCUCUCCUAUGUAAAUAUUCUCUGCUGUGCUACGCAAAAUGGCUGCUAAAUGUGCCUUCCACAUCAGAGAGUGAAGCAUGAAAGUACAAUGGGCGUUCGUAUCAAAAGGAUAUAAAGGUUAUUCCUUCCCUCCUCCUGAGAAACUUCUGUUUCAUGGAAGAACAGACCCAGUGAGAGGAGGCUACCUCAUCUGGCAAGCCACUGACUUGUAG